rnacentral:lncRNA from 1 species
UGUCACUAUAGGUUGGUAUGUACCCAAUUGUGACUAAACCAAAAGAAACAAAUCUGGAAACUGAAGUAUCAAUACGUGAAAAGCGUUCUUUUGGUAUUGGGAGUGCCAGUUGUCUUUGUUUCAUGAACUACUUCUCCGUAAUAGCAUGCAGCCAUCUUCAAGAGGUGAGAAUUUCACUUAGCGACUUAAACAGAAGUGUUAUCUCAAGAUAAUAUAAUAUCUGGAGGUAAAACAGCAUCCCCAGGAUAAACAGGUUUAACUUGCACAUACCAGAAGCUUGGCUUAGUGACCCUCAAAGGAGUUUUCACUUCCUCCAAAGUCCUAUAUGUGGUCGCCUCCGAUAUCUGCCGUAUACAACUGUCUCCUGGUGACCACCUCCCUGUGAGACAGCAGAUACAACCUACCCCUCUGGCCUUCUCACCUCUCGUGGACUGUGUAGAUGCUGCAGUGGCCCCUGCUCAGUUACAGUGUGACUAUUGGACUUGUUCCUGCUUGCUAUAAGCCCACUGUAUUAGUCCAUUCUCACGCUGCUAAUAAAAACGUACCUGAAAC